UACGUAGGGUGCGAGCGUUGUCCGGAAUUAUUGGGCGUAAAGAGCUCGUAGGCGGUUUGUCGCGUCGAAUGUGAAAACCCGGGGCUCAACUCCGGGCCUGCAUUCGAUACGGGCAGACUAGAGUUCGGUAGGGGGGUCUGGAAUUCCUGGUGUAGCGGUGAAAUGCGCAGAUAUCAGGAGGAACACCGGUGGCGAAGGCGGGACUCUGGGCCGAUACUGACGCUGAGGAGCGAAAGCGUGGGGAGCGAACAGG
rnacentral:rRNA from 1 species